rnacentral:rRNA from 1 species
ACAUCCAGAGAAUUUAGCAGAGAUGCUUUAGUGCCUUCGGGAACUCUGAGACAGGUGCUGCAUGGCUGUCGUCAGCUCGUGUUGUGAAAUGUUGGGUUAAGCCCCGNAACGAGCGCAACCCUUAUCCUUUGUUGCCAGCACGUAAUGGUGGGAACUCAAAGGAGACUGCCGGUGAUAAACCGGAGGAAGGUGGGGAUGACGUCAAGUCAUCAUGGCCCUUACGAGUAGGGCUACACACGUGCUACAAUGGCGCAUACAAAGAGAAGCGACCUCGCGAGAGCAAGCGGACCUCAUAAAGUGCGUCGUAGUCCGGAUUGGAGUCUGCAACUCGACUCCAUGAAGUCGGAAUCGCUAGUAAUCGUAAAUCAGAAUGUUACGGUGAAUACGUUCCCGGGCCUUGUACACACCGCCCGUCACACCAUGGGAGUGGGUUGCAAAAGAAGUAGAUAGCUUAACCUUCGGGAGGGCGUUUACCACUUUGUGAUUCAUGACUGGGGUGAAGUCGUAACAAGGUAAGCGUAGUGCU